rnacentral:lncRNA from 1 species
CAGUGGAUGAUUCAGGGGGGUCCCGGGAUUGGAACCCUCCCUUUUGUUUUGGUCGAUCAAUUUAUUUAAAUGGGGACAUGUAGUUGAAACCCACUCUUUUUUACAUGGGUUAGGAACCCCUUUUUAAAUUGUUGCAUCUGUCACUGCAAAAGGGAUAUUGUAAAAAUAUGAUUUAAUAUUUAGAAAUAUUGUCAAUGACAAUGGAGUUUUUAGAGAUCAGUGGAUACAUGUACCUCGA